GGGAAAGAGGAAUUUGAUAUGUCAACCCUGGCCACUUGUAUGAUUAUCAAAUAGCCAUUGUGAGGACAUUUGUAUUACAUUAGGAUCAAUCGCUUUCAAAAAUACUUAUUCACUAGCAAAUUAUUAAUAAUUUAGAUUUAACCAACUUAUAGGUAACUCCUUAUCACCACGUUUAUCUUCUGCUUUCUGGAGAUGUCCAUAUUGAUUCGAUCUUUGCUUCUCUGGGUUAUUUGUAAUUAAAAAAUACAAAGUACACUUUCUGAACCCUUACAUAUCAGAACUCGUCUUUUGCUUCAACACUUGGUUGAUAACUUCAACACCUGGCUCCAGGGACUUCUUUCAGUGUUUCAGGUGAGUCUCAUGCUGUUUCAAAUUGUAGGUCUCUGGGACCUGCGAAUUUUUUCUCUUUAUCCGUCUAAUUCAGAGCUUAAAGCCUCCAUGAUUAGAGCCUUGGAAGUACAAAGUCAGGAGAAUUAGAAUCCUCAGUGGCUCUCUAGUUUUGGUGCAUUGUAGGGAAAGCAUUUAGUGAUGAUGUACUUGUGAAGGGACAGUACACAUGUAGCGUCUCCUCAAGUCGAUGCAGAAAACCAGAACAAAAGGAAGCUUAAGGAUGAUUACAAUAAACUUGCCCAUAGAACACAGAUUACCAUGUCAAAAUUAUUUUAUUAAUUUCUAGUUCAAAUUUUGAAAAGGUUUCUUAAAAAAUGUCUCUUAAAUAUUAAGACGGCCAAGUCUUUCGGGGAAAAUGUUUGUCAUUCAUCCAACAAAUACUUGAUUGGCUGCCCUGUGCUUGGAACUAUGUGGAUAAGGUUUUGCCCUCAUGUACUAGAAAAUGUAUUAUCCUGAGAUGAUCUGAUCAACUGGAAUUAUGUUCACAGGGCAAAUAAAUUACUGUUCAGUGAAUGAGACCGGAAGGCUUUGUGGAAGAGAGAAUUAAAAAAGGGACGGAGGAUGGGUAAUGGGUAAGAUUUCGACACGCAGAACUCCUGUGCAGGAGGAGAAAUCCAGCAUUCUGGGGAUGGCGGACAACUGGAGGCAAAGGAACAGAUAGCACAGGCUCCAGUGUAAGGAACAAUGAGGAAUUCUAUAUGAAAAUCAUGGAAAAAGGCAGAGGAGGAAAUGGCCAGAUGGAGUUUCACUCUUGUUGCCCAGGCUGGAGUGCAGUGGCGUGAUCUCGGCUCACUGCAACAAACACCUCCCGAGUUCAAGCACUUCUCCUGCCUCAGCCUCCCAAGAAGCUGGGAUUACAGGUGCCUGCCACCAUGCCUGGCUAAUUUUUUAGUAGAGAUGGAGUUUCACCAUGUUGGCCAGGCUGGUAUUGAACUCCUGACCUCAGAUGAUCCACCCGCCUCAGGCUCCCAAAGUGCUGGGCUUACAUGUGUGAGCCACCGCGCCGGGCCUAAAGUAUCUAUCUAUUGAGUAAAGCAAAGUGAGCCUAUUUACAUAAAAAAAAAGACCGUUCACCCUCAUCUGCAAUAAUGGCAGCCAAAGACUACAGUAAAGUGCACUUCUGUGCACUUCCUCAUGGAUACAGUCUCCAUCAAGCACCGUGCUCUUUUCCCAUUCCCUUUCUAAAGCAGACAGAACCUGGGAAUUUAUGUGCUAUGCUGUUAACAGUGUUAUCAGGGAGAAAAGGUGUUUUCAUUUCCUUUAAGGUAAAACUAGUUCCUCCAAAGAAUGGCAGUGACAUAUUCUGAAAAAGUAAGGUAAAAGAGCAAAAUAUAUUCUUUCCAUGACGUCCUUUAACUAUUUCAUAUGAAUUUAAAACAUAUUUAGUGUUAAUUCUAAGAAUAUAGAAAUGUUGCAUUAAUUUGCAGAAAUUAAACAAAGAAAAAGAGGAAGGAACUGCCAAACUGGAAUUACGUUCAUUUUCUUUAACCCUCUGAAAGUAGGAAAGCUGAAAAGGUAAUGGAAGAAUUUUUCCUAUCAUACUGAAAGAGGUGCUAUGAGAUACAUAACAAAUUAUUUCUGCAGUUGGUUCCUGGACAGGUAUAAACUGAAUUUUUUACAAUUGUUAUCUGUCUCGGAGGCUGUGUCACUAACCCUUUAGCAGAUGAGUUUUAGCUGAAAUGGUUUGUGUGUAAUCGCCAUUUUGGUCCACACGAAUUAUCAAGGGAGCUUUCUUCAGCAAAAUUUUAGGCUAACAGCCCAAAGGAAACUCUGAAAGAAUAAUUUAUGGUACUGACAGUAAGUGUUAAAGAAAUGCUAAAUGCCAGUUUUAUCUCCCAGGAACAAGCAACUAAUAUCCUUUUUUGAAUUCUAAACUCACCUAAAUUAAAGUUUUGAUGCACAGUCUUUUGACUUUUUAAAAUUUGCAGUAUCUAUCCUUCCUAUAAAGAUACAAAAGUUUUAAAACCAAAAACCUAGAUUUUACAUUUCAUUUCAGCAAUAAAGUACUGUCCUAGAGCCAGCUAUUAGAAUAUAUUUAUCUAAUGAGAAAAUACUUAUAAUUUGAAGAAAAAAUGUGAUAGCAAAUAGAAAAGUAUCAUCUAUUAAAAUUUCAGGAAGAUCUACAUUAUCUAAAGCCAUUCUAUAAUUUUAUUCAUAUAUUUUGUGGAAUUCACAUAUCUUAUUCUUACAGCAAACAUAACACUGUAGGCCACAAGAAGCCGCAGUACUAUUGUUUAAUUAGCAGCAAAUUAAUAUUUUAUAUCUGGGUAUAUGGACAAUAAAUAGCCUGCUUCUUUGGAUGUGAAUGUUUAAAAUGUAGUAUCACUGCAGCUUCAUAAUGUGAUUGUUAUUUUACAGAGCUUAUACACACACAAAAAAUAUGAUCUUUGUCUAUAUUUUAUACAAAUACAACAGUAGUUUGUGAAUACAUUUUAAGUACAUGAUAUACAUGAUAAGCCACUUGAUUUCCCAAUAUCACAGAAUAGCAAUUUCAAAUGCAAUAAAAAUAUACAAAAUUCAGCCUGGAAUGCAGAUAUUUUUCUUUUCUAUUUUGACUCAAAACUUUAUCAUUAGAACAUUUUUAGAGUACUAGUCCAAACACGUUUUCAUUAGCUAAAAAUACAAUUUCAGCAGUCCAGCUUAUGUUCAGGUAUGAUGCAAUCCAUUUCCGAAUGGAUUCCCAGUUUUCGUUAAAUUCAAAGGGCUGUUAGUAACAUACAGCAUGUUCUUCACUCCACACCCUAUUAUAAAGCCCACUUUCCAUUCUGAGUUUUGUCCUUGUGGACAAAAGCUGGGUUUGUUCUGGUAACAUCUGCGUGUCCAAGAUCUCCUUUUGCAAGUGCACAUGAAUACAUCGUGGUGGUGUAAAAGUUUGUUAAUGACACAUUAAGUCACAGUAUAAAAAUAUAUUGUACACUUUUACACCUAAUGUAGUCCUUUUUCUAUGGAUAAAAAAAUAUGACUGAAUGAGACAGAGAAGUUUGUAGCACCAUGAAGAGUUGUAGCCCAAGUUACAUUAGCAGCAUGAUCCAACGUAAUAUUGAAGGAGUGUUUCUGAGAAGAUAAAACAUUCAUUCUGGUUCAUCUGUACCACUGAAGCUUAUACAAUGAAGUGUUUAAUACAUUAGCAAUAGUUCUGUGUCAUUUCUAGUCUAGAUAGCAUCAAAAAGACACUGCCUUCCAUCCUCAGAGGGUUGACAACAUCAUAGAAAGGCCCUAAGUGUGAUCUGGGUGUGCCUUCACCAAUGCUGGUCGCAUAAUCUUCUCUUCCAUGACCCCAAAGGAACUCUCUAUGGGUUUUUAGCAGAAAACUAUACAACGUAUGUAGAUCUAUGUGAUCACAACAGACCAUCUGUGUUGUUGACACGGCUGCUGACAGUGUGAAAAAAACAAGACAAAUUCAACUUAGGCACACAUUUACCAGAACUAACAGUCAGCCAUUGCUAAUGACAAAUACUCGACAUUUAAAAGAUCUCCUCCAAUGUCACAUGGAUCUCAGUAGGCUAGAAGCAACUUGGGUGAACUGGUAUUUUUUAACUUACGUACUGGGAAGACAGUGUGCUUUGAGACACGUAAACCUUGUAAAAAAAUAAACCAUUGUAAAACCUUAUGAAAAGACACACACUGAUUCUGUGCAAUAUAGCAAAUUGAUAAGAAAACACUGUAAAAAUGUACCUGUUUAAAAUACCAUCUACCAUUUUUGUACACAAAGCAUUAUAUAUCAAAGGCCUAAGAUAUAUAUCAUCUAAUGGCACUUGAAACGAAUUAUAAUAAGUCUUAAAAUAAAAGGCAUAACCUAUAAGAAAGUUUCUGUAAAGGUUUAGAUUCAUUUUGAAAGUGCUAUAUCUUGUAAUAUGUGUAGUAUAGAGGUUGACCAAGCUCUAUUUUUUAAAAAAAUAUUGGCCUAUAAUAAUGUGUAUUGCUCACUAGAUGAAUGAUCCUGAAAGUAUGUACUCCUUAACAUUCAUUAUUAGCUUAAUAAAGCAAUCAGCUCUGGCUCAUGUUUCAGUCAGUAGAUGGUUUUUAAAAACCGCUACUGUCCAAAUUAACACAAUAUAUCACUAUAUUCCACAAAUGACUAAGAAAAAUAAAGCACAAGCAACAAAUAGGCCAAAAUACACAGCUCGAAAGGAACACUAAAUGAAAUUAAGAAGUUGCAUGGAGAGUGAUGCAUGAUCAGCCAGGACAACUGAAGUUUUUAAAAACUGAACUUGGUAAUGAUUUUAAAAUGAAAGUUUUAACAGUGAUCAGUAACUAUAAAGUACUUGUAUACAUCAAUGGAUAGCAUUGCUUACAGUGCCAAGAUCCUUCCACACUCACACUUACGUGUUUGGUGACCUAAUUUGUACACACAUGUGGAAGUGAAACUGAAUGAGGUUCAAUAUCUUGUCUGAGGUCCAAAUUCUAAGCUACUCUUAUUUAAUGUUAAUCCCUUUUUUUUUUUUUUUUU